GAAUUUCCCGAAUUGGGAGCAAAUUGCGCUCUUACAACCUGCAAACAGUUAGAUUUCCUUCCCAUGAAAUGUGAUGCUUGUGCCAAGUUGUUUUGGUAGGACUUUUCUAGUUUUAUAUAUUCACGUUACCAGAACCUAUCUUCGUUUAUGUUUUUAAAAUUUAAUAAAAUCUUGACUGGAAAUCAGCUGUUUGUUUCAUUACAGUAAAGAGCACAUCAAGUAUCCAGAACACAGUUGUGAAAAUGCUUAUAAAAAGGACAUUCAAGUGCCAGUUUGUCCCUUAUGUAACAAAG